CGGACGGGUGAGUACUGUCUGGGAAACUGCCUGAUGGAGGGGGAUAACUACUGGAAACGGUAGCUAAUACCGCAUAACGUCGCAAGACCAAAGAGGGGGACCUUAGGGCCUCUUGCCAUCGGAUGUGCCCAGAUGGGAUUAGCUAGUAGGUGGGGUAACGGCUCACCUAGGCGACGAUCCCUAGCUGGUCUGAGAGGAUGACCAGCCACACUGGAACUGAGACACGGUCCAG
rnacentral:rRNA from 1 species